AAAUACUGAAUCACUUAACGAUAUCGUCUUUGUAAGCUCAUCUCCCUUCUCUUCAAACCUUCAUUCUCUCUCUAAAUCUCUUUCUCUUUCUAGAAUUUUGUCUUUGAAGGUGAAAAUGGGUGAAGAGAGUGGGGGAGGAGGUCCUAUUUAUAAAGGGAGAGAACUGUUGGAUUUGUGACACGUGUCGUGAAUCCGUGAGGAGAGAAAAAAAAUGAUGUCAUCGUGACGUUAUCGGUGUCAAUCAGUCAAGGGAGGCAGCAGCGGCGGCGACGACGAUGAUGACGGUGUCAGUAGGCUGAUGGUAGGCUUGACGCGCAUGCAGCUGCUAGCCCGGACGGCGCCCAAGCAGGGGGGAAUAUGCGUUAGUCUUUC
rnacentral:lncRNA from 1 species